rnacentral:lncRNA from 1 species
GAUCUAGGAAGUCAGUAGGCUCUAUUACCACUACUUAAAAACUGUACAGAUUAUUGGUUUAUCCUAGGGAAAAAGCAUUUGUUCUAUUCUCAGGCAGACAGUCUUUCAGGAUUAAAGUAUAUUAGCAGAGUAAUGCACAGACCUAUUCAGGUAAUAAAGCUUGGGGACUACCAUGAAAUACUUAUAUUAUUGAUUUGAUUACAUGAACUAAGCAGUUUACUAAUGAAAUUGCUAUAUACAUGCAGAUCAUUUUAAAAAAAACUGAGAAAAAAAUUUAAUAGAUGAAAUCUUACCCAUAAGCUCCUUUCUCUGGAUGGG